rnacentral:lncRNA from 1 species
GGGGAGUGUACUGAGAAUAACUCAGUAUCCCUACAUGGAAAGGUUUUCUUAGAUGGGGAAUUAUAAACCUAUUGAGAAAUAUUGUGUCAAUUACUUUUGUAUGUAGUCAUGUAUAUUAUAUUACGUGUUGUAAGAAUUAAAUUAAGGCAUACAAUGUAUUUCUAGGGUUAUUUAUGUUUUGUUAAUUAAGUGAGCGUUUCAUGGUUGUGGGUGAUGAGGUGGCAGGGACGCUACGUGGCAGGUGCUCACGCAGGCUCGGUCAGUUCCUAGUCGGUGAGGGGUGUGAUUAGUCGACGGACUGCGUUGGCUGGGGGUGUUACGUGAUUGUGUCGGAAGUAUCCUGUCGUUAGCUGGGUUGUGCUUGUGCCCCUGCUUGUGCACAAGUAGACGCGAGUUGAUCGAGUGGUGUGAAGGAUUGUGACGAAUGUACCCUGCCAGUAGACAGAUGUCUUCAUGUCUUCAUGUGAGUUCAGGUGAUUGGUAUUCAUUGUAUAGGUAAUUACUUGUUGACAUCACGAUAGAGGUGAUAUUUGUAAUAAUUAUGUAGGCCGCAGUCGUUGACUCCGAUAUUGUGUUACAGUUGGAUGGUGCUUUGGGUACUUAACGUGUGGGAUCCGAGGUGUUGUAACAUAGCAGUAACCAGGACGCUAGGAAGGGAGGCACUGUGUAAGUUAUAAUAAUGUAUUUCUUUAGUAUUUAAUGGUGUAGUAGCAGUCGACAGGAAUGUGCAUUAUAAAAUUGAUUCUCGGUAUUAGUUGUCUCAGACUUACUAUGGUUACAGGUUGGACCCAAUAAAGGUGUUUACUGCCA